CAAACAAAGAGUCCUGGAAGCCUGUGCGCGAUCAAUCUUACUCGCCAAAAGGUCUGACAGCUCGGUGCCCUCACAACACAUUUAAGGCUUCUUACUCUCCCCCGGAUCAAAUGCAGCCAGGAAGCGGCGAGAAACACUGGCCACUCAGAUUAGAACCAGUUUCUCCUCGCAGUUGUAGCCGGGCUGUCGCUGGAGGGAUAUUAUAAAAGAUAAAUAAGAAUACAGCUACACAAGAUGCGAUUUCCUUUUUGAGGAAACUGUAAUGCGCCAAUGAAUCUUCAGAAGCGCCCGGUGACAUUUUUAUUAUUAUGGAUGUGCCCACGCAGGUGAGAGGAGGGAAGAAGGCCACCCGAGUGUUUCCUUCACGUCGAAUCAAGAAGAGGGGAGAAAAAAAACAAGUAGCUUUGAUUUAAUAUUUGAAUGUAUGUGCGGCCAUUUCCCUUUCUGUUAUUGAAUAUGAAAUAUAGCCACUGGUUUUAAAUUAUUAUUUUUUUAAUAUUAUACCAAUAUAUAGAUUUAGCAAUGAUCAUCCAUGGUUCAUUAUUUAUCCUAACUAUUAACAUUGUAUUGUUUCUUAUAUUGCCAAUUGUUUUUUUUUCUUUUUGCUAUUACCUCUACUACAAUUCUUUACCGUCAUGAAAUAUAUAAGAAUACUGAUAUGUAAGAAUUGCAAAACUAGAAAUAUAUAUUUUUUAAACUGUAUUGUGUUUAAUUUUGUGAUCAUGUAAAAUGCGUCUGAUGUGUCUAAAUUAAAACUGCAAUAUUUGCUUGAAUUAUAUUUCAAUUAUUUUAUUUAUUUCUUCAAACUGGAGCAGCGUGGAAUGUAUGA